GAGCAGCGGGCUUUUAACCCGCGUGUCGUUGGUUCGAUUCCAACACGGCCCACCA
rnacentral:tRNA from 1 species